rnacentral:rRNA from 1 species
UGGGGAAUAUUGGACAAUGGGCGCAAGCCUGAUCCAGCCAUACCGCGUGGGUGAAGAAGGCCUUCGGGUUGUAAAGCCCUUUUGUUGGGAAAGCAAAGCAGCCGGUUAAUACCCGGUUGUUCUGACGGUACCCAAAGAAUAAGCACCGGCUAACUUCGUGCCAGCAGCCGCGGUAAUACGCAGGGUGCAAGCGUUACUCGGCAUUACUGGGCGUAAAGCGUGCGUAGGUGGUUGUUUAAGUCUGUCGUGAAAGCCCUGGGCUCAACCCGGGAAUGGCGAUGGAAACAGGGCGACUAGAGUGUGGCAGAGGGUAGUGGAAUUCCUGGUGUAGCAGUGAAAUGCGUAGAGAUCAGGAGGAACAUCCGUUGCGAAGGCGACUGCCUGGGCCAACACUGACACUGAGGCACGAAAGCGUGGGGAGCAAACA